rnacentral:rRNA from 1 species
CCUACGGGGGGCUGCAGUAGGGAAUAUUGCUCAAUGGGGGAAACCCUGAAGCAGCAACGCCGCGUGGAGGAUGAAGGUUUUAGGAUUGUAAACUCCUUUUGUGAGAGAAGAUAAUGACGGUAUCUCACGAAUAAGCACCGGCUAACUCCGUGCCAGCAGCCGCGGUAAGACGGAGGGUGCAAGCGUUACUCGGAAUCACUGGGCGUAAAGGGUGCGCAGGCGGGCUUGUAAGUCAGAUGUGAAAUCCUGUAGCUUAAAUACAGUACUGCAUUUGAAACUAUGAGUCUAGAGUGUGGGAGAGGUAGGUGGAAUGCUUGGUGUAGGGGUGAAAUCCGUAGAUAUCAAGAAGAAUACUGAUUGCGAAGGCGACAUACUGGAGCAUUACUGACGCUCAUGCACGAAAGCGUGGGGAGCAAACAGGAUUAGAUACCCUUGUAGUC